UUUUUUUUUUUUUUAAUUUAAGUUCGAUUUGGCAACAUAUAACAACCAGUGCUUAUCCCAUCAAGUGCCCUCUUCAGUGCCUGUCACCCAGUCACCCCAUCCCAACUUCUGCAACUUCCCCUUCUGCAACCUUUUGUUUGUUUCCCAGAGUCAGGAGUUUCUUGUGGUCUGUCUUCCUCUUUAAUUUUUCCCCACUCAGUUUCCCUUCUCUCCUUUAUAGUCCAUCUCACUAUUUCUUAUAUUCCACGUAUGAGUGAAACAAUAUGAUGAUUGUUUCUCCGAUUGACUUAUUUCACUCACCAUUAUACCCUCCAGUUCCAUCCGCAUAGAAGCAAAUGGUCGGUAUUCUUUCUUUCUGAUGGCCAUUGUGUAUAUAGACCACAUCUUCUUUAUCCAUUCAUCUUUCGAUGGACACCGAGGCUCCUUCCACAGUUUGGCUAUUGUGGACAUUGCUGCUAUGAACAUUGGGGUGCAGGUGUCCUGUUGUUUCACUGCAUCUGUAUCUUUGGGAUAAAUCCUCAGCAGUGCAAUUGCUGGGACGUAGGGCAGAUCUAUUUUUAACUCUUUGAGGAACCUCCACACUGUUUUCCAGAGUGGCUGCACCAGUUCACAGUCCCACCAACAGUGCAAGAGGGUUUCCCUUUCUCCGCAUCCUCUCCAACAUUUGUUGUUUCCUGUCUUGUUAAUUUUCACCAUUCUCACUGGUGUGAGGUGGUAUCUCAUUGUGGUUCUGAUUUGUAUUUCGGAUCUAGAUUCAAAUCAUCUCUGCCUCUCUCCAAAUAUCUUGUACUAUACUUUGCCCAUAGGUCUUAGACACACAUUUCUUGAACAAGUAAAUAAGUAAAUUAAUGAAUGGCUUGCAAGAUAUGACCUCUACAUUUAAGAAGUUGACAAUCUAUUAAGGUAGAAAAUAAUAAAAGACUUCCAGGAUCUCUUCCAAUUUUGUGAUUAUGUUUUUAUGAAAUAUCUGUGAUAUAAUGCAGAAUGUAACACAUUGCAUAUGUAUAUUAUCACAGGAAGAAGAAACUUGGCUUUAGAUUCAACCCACUAUUCAGUAUCAGCUCUUCAUCCAAUAGCAUCCCAGGCACUUCUGAAUUAUUGCCUCACUUCAUCUUGACAAUACUCUUAUUCAGAAUGCAAUAUGGCUUAAUGAUAACAGUAGAUACUGUUUAUCAAGAAUUGCUCUGUGCGGCUUCCUGCAUGGAGCCAACUUCUCCCUCUAUGUCUCUGCCUCCCUCUCUCUGUGUCUCUCAUGAAUAAAUAAAUAAAAUCUUAAAAAAAAAAAAAAAGAAUUGCUCUGUGCCAGGCACUAUGCUAAACUCUGUGUAUGAAUGAUCUCAUUUAAUCCCCACAACAAGCCUAUAACUAGGAUAUUAUUUUUCUAUUUUAGUGGAAACAGAGGCCAAUGGGGAAUAAACAACAUGUCCAAGAGACAUGGAGUUAGUUCCUGGCUGCCCUGGGGCUUGAAUCCCAUCUGUUUGAUAUCAGCAUUUGGACUUUUAAUCACUUUGGUUGGGAUGCAUAGGGCUCUGGGGACACAUCAUGUCUUUGAUGCCCAGCCCAUCACUUUGUAGCUGUGUGAUCUUGGGAAGCUCAGGCUCUCUGAGCUGCAAUUCCCUCAUUGGUAAAGCAGGAAUAGUAACCACUACCUUAGGAGAUUGCUUUCAGGAUUCAGUGAGAUAAUAUAUGUACAUGUCUGUCACAUAGUAGGUGUCAAUGCCUGUUAGUC
rnacentral:lncRNA from 1 species